GGGAGGCUGGCAAGACACACACUGAUACAUCGAAACAAUGAAAUAUGGGAGUCAGGAGGUGGCCAAUGCUCCGGAGAAAACCGAAGCUGAUUAAGGACAGCAAGAAGGCUGCCGUCUGCAAGCCAGGACGGGGGUUCUCACCAGGAACGGAAUCUGCCAGCACCUUGAGCUUGGACUUCCAGCCUCCAGAACUCUGAGAGCGGCCCUGCCAGCACCGCCUCAACCGCGACAGUCAAGCUAGGUCUCUAAAAUACGAGGGCAGGGGGAUACCAGCUUGAAGAUGGAAGAAACCGGAGCACGAUUAAACAAGCACAAACGAACUACUGAGAAAUAAGGACGUGCCUGUCGACAAGCACCAGCUCCAGUUCUAACAACACCGAAACCAGUGAACUAUGAAUUUUCCAACUCAAAAACGUAGUGUUCUAAGGCCGCUGAAAGAUGGCAUGAAGAAAGUAACGACCUGUGGUCAGAAGAAGUAACGGUAACGGGGAAUGAUUUUUCUAAAUGAAAUGAAACAGUGCAUUCUGAAGUGUGUGCUUUUAAAAGUGAAAGCCCUGCACUCCCUCCCUCUCUCCCAUCAGUGGUUUUCAUACACACACGCGCACACGCACUCUCACCCUCACACACACAAAGCACUCUGGUCAUCAUUUCACAUUUUUCAGGUCUCU